rnacentral:rRNA from 1 species
AUUGAACGCUGGCGGCAGGCCUAACACAUGCAAGUCGAGCGGAUGAAGGGAGCUUGCUCCUGGAUUCAGCGGCGGACGGGUGAGUAAUGCCUAGGAAUCUGCCUGGUAGUGGGGGAUAACGUCCGGAAACGGGCGCUAAUACCGCAUACGUUCUGAGGGAGAAAGUGGGGGAUCUUCGGACCUCACGCUAUCAGAUGAGCCUAGGUCGGAUUAGCUAGUUGGUGGGGUAAAGGCCUACCAAGGCGACGAUCCGUAACUGGUCUGAGAGGAUGAUCAGUCACGCUGGAACUGGGAAACGGUACAGUCUCCUACGGGAGGCAGCAGUGGAGAAUAUUGGACAAUGAGCGAAAGCCUGAUCCAGCCAUGCCGCGUGUGUGAGGAAGGUCUUCGGAUUGUAAAGCACUUUAAGUUGGGAGGAAGGGCAGUAAGUUAAUACCUUGCUGUUUUGACGGUACCAACAGAAUAAGCACCGGCUAACUUCGUG